UGUAUCUAGUGUCGCAGAGGAUAGAGGAGGGUCACUUCCCCUGGAACUUGAUAUACUGAUAGUUGGAAGCUGUCAUGUGGGUACUAGGAAUAGAACCAAGAUCCUCUUGAACAAGACCCAAUGCUCACUUUGAAAGCAAAUUUUCUAAAUUUAAGUUAUAAAAAUAAGUACAAUGUUUUAACCAUAAUCCUAAAAACUUCAUAAGUUUAUAAAGCAAGGUUCCUCUGUGCUGUGCUGUGGAUGCAGUACAUAAUGGUAGGAUUUUCUCCCAUAGGUCCCAUGGGCUGGCUAUGCAUUAUGUGGGGGUGAUGAACACUCCCAUAGGCCUGCCCCAUGGACUGAACUCUUCACCACAGCCUUCAACAGAGAAACAUCACCCUCUCUCCCUGUCGGGUGAAAACCUACUGCUUCCCAGCUUUCCCCCAGUGCUGCAUUCCCGUCUCCUUCACCUGCAAACAUUUAAUCCUAUUCAUGACUUGUUUGUUGCCUGUACCUAUUCUUACACUUACUUCUCGUUUUCAUUGUUGUAGCCAGUAUGUCUGUGCUUAAAUCUGAAGCCUCUGGCUGCUAGGGGUAGCUCUCAAGCUUUCUGUGCAAAGCACUGCACAUCCUCUAAGGGAAAAGGACUGGUGAGGAUGGGACCAACUCCAUAACCAUAGCCGUAGCUGUAGGGCUAACUGUAGUUGCACAAGAGGUGGUGGUGGGCCACGAGAAGAAGCCAGUCCCAGGUCGGGGAAAGCCAGUCCCAGGAGGAGCUGCAGUGGCAGGUGAUCAGAGACUUGAGACCCGCAGCCAGCGCUAGUGGGUGAGAGACAGAGAUGGAUAAACACGCCAUGCAUAGAAAGUUUGGGUAUAGUUUAUUCAGUGGGGUAUGGAAGGGAAGGGGAGAUAGAGAGAAAGAGAGAGAGGGAGAGAGGUGGGGGGAGGAGUGGCAGCAACCACUCUUCGGAGGGUCAGAGACAGAGAGCUCACAGGAGGAAGACCAGCUAGCAAAGGCAGAAGGGGUGGUGGCAGUGGGCUGGACUUGUCUCUUAAAGGGACAGGGUACACAAGUGACAGACCAGGCCAUCAGAUCAUAACAUGCCCAUGUCUUUCUUAUAGAGGUCAGGCACAACAGGUUAAAGGAAUUGGAACAGCAGAGUUUCAAGACUGCUUCCUGCUUAUUUUGUGCACUGUCUUGGGGGCACCUGAGAAAGCUGGGUGCUGGUCACAUCCUGGGUUAGCUGGUCUCAAACGUCCAUCUGAAUCCAUAUUUUAAUUAUUUUUUUACCUGGAAGACUGAAAAUCUGCAGAAGGGACCUUAUGAUCCCUGUGGCAGCUGGAUUGUUGAUGCUAAGGAGGCUAUGAGAAGAACUAAGUUGGUGCUCACAGGGAAUUUUUUUUCUUGUUUCAUGAUGAACAGAUUAAAUUAAUUUUACCAAAGACCAAAAAAUUUAAAAUAAUAAUUUAUGAAGGCACACUAGCACAGAUACAUCAUUGUUGACAAGCAGGUUUUACUACAUGGCUCAGUAAUUUCCUUGUAAACUAGUUUUUAUAUUUUCCAACUAGUAGAUACUAUAAAAAUCUAGUUUCUAAUCACCUUGGCAUGGAAUUGCUAUGACUGCGUCUGUUAGACAGGAAGAUAGAGUUGAGAGAGACUGGACAAUAUUUUCAAUAACAGGACAUAAAGAACUGUAAGUAGUUGAUGUUUGCCUCCAGGUAGUUCAAAUAAGGGCAUCAAAAACAAGAUUUCAAGAACUAUAGGUGUUGGUAAACUCUGGAUAGGACAAGUCAAAUCAGUGCCAGAGACUCCCUUUCCAGGGACCAUGGAAGACAGCUGUUCCUCUGUCUCCUAGUUAACUUUUCAACUUUGGAAAAUUGAAAAUCCAUGCUCGCAUUCCUAUUUCUUCAUCUACAUAUUGCAGUCUCAAUUUAGGGUAAAAUAAACUUUCCUGAAAAUGCCAACUAGGUGAGGUACAGAGGAGGAGAUAGCCUGAAAAAGAGGUAAGCAAGCUCUGUGCCACAGACAGAGUCACUGGGGCUCAGUUCACACCUUUUGUCAAAGACCCCCAUUACCCAUCUGCUGGACUGGAGCACCUCAAGCAUUCCCUCAGAAACUUCAAGUCUAACUGCUCUCCUGAGUUAUCUUCCUCCCAGUCUUUGGUCUUGUUUUUACUUUCAUAGUCUGAUUUAGAUAGAAUAUAUUCUGUCUUUUUAUCUAUCACAUGUUUCUUUCUGUCUAUUUAUCAUCUGUCAUCUAUCUAUUCAUCUAUCUCUAUCAUCUAUGAAUGCUUGCGCACACACACAUAUGUGCACCACACACACACACACCACACACACACACACACACCACACACACACACACACACACAUACACACACACACACACCUAGAACUAGACUGUUAUGACUAGAUUGUCUCCAAUGUCCUUCCAGGCUCUCCCAACUAUGACCCCAGGAAGUCACUCUUUUUGGAUCAUGUGAUCUUAGGCUUCCUAAGAAACAGCAUCAUGUCUUUAGGGUGAGAUUGAAGUGCAAUCAGAAGGACAGCCUAUGUUAGCUUGAUGCUAACCUGUAGUUUCCCAAUGAUCAAGUUUUCCUUAGAAACGGGACAUUUCUGUUUGGUACAGUUCACACAUUCACUAUCCAUCAGAGUGAUAGAAAAUAUGGUCAAUUACCGAAAUAAAAGAUUAUCAAGAUACUGAACAUACCCACUUUGGGCUUUCAUCUUUUUCCCUGAAUCCUUCUCCUUACCCAAAGAAGAAAUGUAAAUCUUAAUACAAAUAUUUUCCCCUUCACCCUACACUUUUGAAAUUUUUGCCUUACUCUCUUUCUCCUCUAUUUCUCUUUUUAUAUGCAUAGAUCACAUCCAUCAGGAAGAUAGGCUUGGAAGGAAUAAUUCAGUAGGGUAGAGAGGAGACACAUCUAUCCUUUAUUUGAGGUACAAAAGAGGUUGAUGUAUGUAGAGGCAAUGCACUAUUGAUGCCAAAGUUCCCACCACACGCUGAGUAUUCUCUCUCCUAAAGUCUGAGUCCAUAUCCCUUCCUGAACAAGAAAUCCUGACCCUGACUUUUGUGUGUGUGUAUGCAUGUGUCCAGAUGUGAAGGCCAGAGGUCAAAAAUGGGUCUCUUUCGCUAUCAUUUCCACCUUAGUAUUUGAGACAGUGUCUCUCACUAAAUCUGAAGUUCACUAAUUCAUCUAGACUAACUGGGCAAGAGAGCCUCCUGUUCUUCACCCCCAGCACUGGAUUUCAAGCCCAUGACCACAUCUAGCUUUUUAUGUUAGUGUUGGAAAUUUAAUUCUGGUCUUCAUGAUAACACAGCAUAUAUUUUACCAAUUAAGAUAUCUCUCUAGUCCCUUCUUAUUCUUGGUCCUCUAACAAGCCAAGUUGAUAGAAGAGUUACAUUGUUGAGUGAUAUGACUCCUGGAUAUAAGAAUUCCUCUCAUUUGUAUUAAGACCCUCUCUAUACUUUCAGGCUAGGUAUUAAUUUGAGUCCAUGGAAUUCUUACCUUGAGCAUCCCUGUCCUCUUAAUCAAUUCAAGAACCUUGGAGACAGUCUGAGGUGAUUUGUGAGAUCACUGUCUUGCAAAACUCUGCCUUUCAUUGAACCUUCAGCCAUCAGUUGCACCUCUGGUCAGGAGUUCAUAUCCACCACUGCAUAUGUAUGAAUUCCUUUCUCUGUGCUGUGACAUACAAGAGCCAUGAAUGCAUAAGCAAGAAAACAAGUAUACUAAAGGUUUGUGACCCUGUAGCUAAUGCCAUAUUCAUGCCGCCAGAGUCUUCUUUAUAGACCAGAGUUGCACAGGAGAUUUCAAUUACACAGAAAGGUCAUUGCAAAAUAAUUGCUGGCCUACAUUGUUUGUCAAUAUGAGAUUUUUACCAAGCUUCUCACACAAGGUCAGAUCUGCUCCACUCCAUGACCACUGACAUAUAUACAUACAUACAGAAGUACAGGGGUUACUGCGCUUGUUCCUAACUAUGCCUUAGUAAAGCUCUCAAGGUGUACAUCUUAACUUUUUAUACUCCAGCCCCUUGUACUCCUGCCUGCCCCCUUUGCUAUUUGGCUACCGUGAAACUUCUCAGAUCAAUCAGAGUGUUUAUAAACUAAACGCCAAGCUUGUAAAAGACUAGAAUGCACUAACUAAUGAGUAUUUUGACUCCCGACACAUGUAAGGACAAAUACAGUUGCUACCUGUGUAAUAUGAACUAAGAUUUAAGAAUUUUUGUUUGCCAAGUGUCAAAUGAGAAAGAUUUAUUGUCUUUCUACAUGUAUUAUGAAAAAUAAAUUAACUAAAAAAGUACUGAUGAGGUUGAUGUUGGAGCUAGAGAGAUGGUUCAGUGGCUAAGAGGACUUGCUGAUCUUGCAGAGAACUCAGGUUUGUCAUGGAAACUCAUAGGGUCUGUAACUUGAUUUCAAGGAAACUUACACCCUUUUAUGGUCUUUGUAUGGAACAAGAAUCCAUUUCUGCAUAUACAUGCACUCAUGAAAACAAUAACACAAAAGUUAAAAUAAAUGUUUUUUAAACUCUGCAAAUAUUAAAAUUUAUUUAUAGAACUUCACAUCUAGGAAAUUAUGACAGAAGUAUGCCAAUGUCCUGUUUUGUGUUUAUCUUUAAUAUAUCAAACCUCUAGAUCAGGAUUACUUUUGCCUGCCUAAAAUUUCACCAUUUGCAUAAAACAAUAGGACAGUAAAAUCCUGCAUCAAGAAGCAGAAAAAAAAAAGUGUCCUGAAAACUUUGAAACAUUUUUACUAAAUUGGUAACUGAUUGGAACUGAUUACCCAAUGCUAAUAUCUAGAAAGCAUUUCUACCAAAUCCUAAUCAUACUUACUGGGAAACAAACAAAAAUAAACAGACAAAAAAUUAAAAAAAAAAACUCUCAGUAGCCACUGGAAUAGAGUUGCCUUCUUACAAAUGAGGAGACAGGUUAGCCAGUGAAGUGCUUGUUAUAUGAUGAGAUGAGGCUGGAUCUCUGUUACCCAUGUGAAAAGUCAGAUAUACUGUGACCAUAGUGAGGAGAGUCAGGGAGAUCCCUGAAUCAUGUGUGCCAUUCAUGCUAGCCAAUGGGUAAGCCCAAGGUUCAUCUAAUGCUGACUCAAAAUAAUAAGCUAGAGAACAAUCCAAGAAGAUAUUUCUUUGUUGUGAGAGGCUGCUAGUUUGUGAUCUCAGCCCUGCUCAGCCCUGAAAUAAUCACACAGAAACUGUAUUAAUUAAAUCAUUGCUUGGCCUAUUAGCUCUAACUUCUUAUCGACUAGCUCUUAUAUUUCAAUUUAACCCAUUUCUAUUAAUAAGUGUAUUGCCAUGUGGCUUACCAGGUGAAGUUUUGGCAUUUGUGUCCGAAGGGGCCACAUGGCUUCUCACUAACUCCUCUUUUCUUUCUUCCAGCAUUCAGUUUAGUUUUCCCCACCUAGCUCUGUUCUAUUCUAUCAGACCAAGCCAGUUUCUUUAUUAACCAAUGGUAUUCACAGCAUACAGAGGAGAAUCCCAUAUUAUUUCUUGGGCUCCAUACUCAUUUGCACACAUGUAUGAACCCAUACACACAUGUAUGAAUACACAUACAAAUACACAGACAUGCAAAGUUAAUUUUUUGUUCAAAUUUUUCUAGAAUGAACACAUGCCAUUCUAUAAACUGAAUAUUUUCCAAAAAUCCAACAGGAAACCAACCUUUCUUGCAUCAUUUUGCAAGGAAUCAGAACUGAAAUAAAGCAUCAUCAGGAUCAAAAGAAGCAAGAAACCAGUGACAGAGGAGAAGGAACAUUCCACCCCCAUCCAGCCACAAGGAAGAGAACUUGGUCCUCAAAUAUCAGAGAAGGAGAGCUCAGUGCAUUUUGUGAUGUAAAGUCCUUAGCUACAACUACAUCAUUACACAUCCACAUCCAGCCAUGUUCCCUGCUAUGAUGAUCACGGACCAAACUCUGAAACUGUAUAAAGUAACCAGGUGGGACAGAACAAAGGAAUCCAGCAUCCGGCUUCUUGCUUAUGGAUACACUGUGAUAGUUAUUGCAAGCUCCUGCUGCCAUGACUUCCACCAUGAUGGACUGCACCUUCAAACUGUGAGCUAAAAUAAACCCUCCCUUUAAAAAUGUUCAUCUCUGGUAUUUCUUCACAGCAGAGAGAAAAGCAGCUGAGACAAGAGGGAAAAUGCCUGCUCUUUCCAGGGAAAGGGGCAUUGGGUUGUCCGAGGGAAGAUGAGUAACAUCAAAUGUCUUUGAGUCCUGAAAUUACAGAGGUAGAACUGGAAUUACACAAGGAAGGUUGAACUGGUCAUAUGUGCAAGUCAGAGGAGAAGGAUUUGCGAUGCUUGCUGGUGUCAGCCACAUAAUCAGAGACUCUGGGGGAUAAGGCUUAAGACACAAACUAGCCAUGUAUCAUGAGACUCUCAGAACACAAGGUAAAAUGGCUGGGAUGCUGACCCAUGUUUUUAAGAAAAUGGUUCUUAUUCUCAGGCAGUUUCAUAGAUGUAACAGUAAAUAAGAGGCUACUCUCCUAACUCUUCAUGAACAGCUUCAGCAAUUACCUUGUAGGAUUUUUUUACGUUUUUUGCUAAUACUGAAACCAGUCUUGGAGCAGAGAGCAGUAGCACUAUCCUAAUAUUUCCUGGUCUGUGGUUGGCAUUUGCACUGUGAGACAGAUCUUGCCCUAAUUUGAGGGAUCUCUGACCCCUUAUGCCACCUUUGAGCUUGAAUAGAAGUGUGUUUAAAGUUGUUCCUACUUUCACAUUGCUUAAAGUUAAAUGUUCUUGAUGCUUAGAACACAAUGCCUCCAAUUAGAGUUCCUUGGUGUACUGAGUGUUUUGAACAGAGGAAGUUACGAAACAGCUGACUCCAGAGCUCUUUCCGAUCCCUUUAGAUCUUUUGCCAUCCUGUCCUCUAACUUUUCUAAAGUGAGGAAAAUGAACCACAGGACUCUUCCUCUAGAGCUUCAUAGAAAAGAGAACUUCAUUGCCCCAAAGUAAGGAACAGCCUGGAAAGCUUUGUAUCCCCGUUUUCACAGGAAAACCGCCACUGCAGAAAGGUCCUGGUGCCUUGUGUGGGAGGAGGGAUCACUAACUGGAUCUUUCAGCAUGUCUGAAGAGCUCCCUCCUUAGUCUGCUGUUGUUUGUGUAACCAUGCCGGCAGGAAUGAAGGUAUUCUAGAAAUAAUUGGGGACCCUUUGACUAACAGGUUAUGGAGACAAUCGUCACUAAGAAAUUGGGGAAAUGAAAUGGGUGAUGCCCUGGUACCAGCUGCAGGAGUAGCCAGUGUCCUGAAAAUUUUUUUCACAGUUCUGGUAACUUACCAGACUUCCUUUCAGAGAAGACCUGUCCUAACAAAGAUGAUGGGCUGGACCACAUCCCACAGAAGGAUCAGGACUUCUUAGCUAUGUGUUCCUCUGACUCUCAACUUAAAUCCAGACCUUGUGUCACUAUCCCACUGUAACUUAGGGGGGAUCACUGUACCUCUCUCUCCAUCUCCCCAGGGUAGCCAUGUUAGAUCAGUAUUCUUUUUUUGUUCGUUUCUCUGUGACUUAUUCUUUUAAUUGGCUUACUGAGGACAUACGGCCAAACUUGGCUUGCUCAGGUUGCCAGGCUCUGACUACAGGGUUAGAUCACACUAUUUCUUAUUUCUGUGUGCCUGACUGUACUUCACUUAAGCUAAAAGCAUCAAAAUAAGCUCCUUUCCCAAGGAGUUUUUGAAGUCUUUCAUGUCACAUAAAUCUGUAUUAAAUAAAUAAAUAAAACUGUCUCUGGACAACCUGUCUUGAUCUUUAUGAAGGAGGAGGAAAAGUUUGUCUUUUUCUAGCACACUAAAUUGGCUCAUCUACCUAACAGUAGAGGCCUGUCUGGUUUUUAUUUUUCUUGCCCCAGCACUGUCAUAGUAGUCAUUUCAACCCUAUCAAUUGCCCCAUCCUGCUACAGAGGACAAGGGACACUUAAGUCCUGUGUCACCAAUGAUAUAUAAAAGCAAACAAACCAUUUGAUUCCACUUUGAGUUACAUGUGUGUCUUCUAACGUCAACUGCUUUUUUCUGGGUUGUGAGUUGCCAUACUUUGGAUCUUGAACGCCCCCAGAAGCUCUCUUUUUAUAGAUUUUGUCAGUACUUUGGCUCUUUGGGGAGGUGGUAGAACCUUUAAGAUCUUGGGACUAGCAGACAGUCUUUGGUGUCAGGGUAUGUCCAUGAAGAGAAUACGGAAAUUCAGCACUCCCUUCCCCUCUCCUCUUUCAUCAUGUCAUGAGCUCAGUGGUUUUGUUGUUGUUUUCAGGCGUCCCCAUCAUAAUGUGUUGCUUCACCACUGGCCCCCAAAUAAAGGUGACACAUGGGUCAUGUAUUAAACUCUCCAAAAGUAUGAGUUGAAAUAAGGCCUUUUUUAAUUUUUAAUGUGUAUGGUGUACAUGUGUGCAUACACUUGUGUGUGUGUAUGUGUGUGUGUAUAUACUUAUAAAAGCAUGCGGAUGCAUGUGUAUGUGAAGGCCAAGGCUGAUGUCAGCAACCAUCCUCUGACAUUCUUCCUCCUGUGCCACAUCAGCCUCCAGAAUGGAGAAUCAGCAGAGAGUUGGACAGACCUCACAGAAUAUUCGGGAGACCUGCAAGGCCAGCUAGAGGAGAGGCGAGCACUCUAUUGAGAUGCUGCACAAAGAUCAGCAUUUUGCAAAGAUAUUUUGAAGGCCUGAGAACCUUUAAACUCAAAAUAAAUAAGUACAGUAAAAUAAAAAUGUCACCCUGUGAAAGUUGACAGUAUUUAUAAAAAGAGAAGUAGAGGAGCCCCAGAAGGCGCAUCCUAAGUUGUCUUCCUCCUCAAUCCAAAGUAACCCUGAGGCAGCUACAUGGAGUCCUUUGAAAACUGCAGGGGCAGAUGUUUACAGAGCUCACUCUCAAGCCCGAAUUAUACAUACACCGUAAGAAAGCUUUCCUCUAAUGACAGAGGUAUAUCAGCACCGAAAUAGAAAUUAAAACCAAUCCGCAUGCUUGCUUAUUCCACCCAGGUCGUUUAUGAACACAUCCAUUGACAUCCCAGUAAAUUUCCUCUAAUAUCAAAAUGGCUCUGUGAUACAAACACUCUCUGUUCAAGCAUAAAGUCUUGGGUUCACAUCCCUAAGUAGUAAGCUGGCAUGGUCAUGUCUGUGCUUGCCAUCCCUGCACUGAGGGGGCAAGAAAAAGAAUGGCUUUUCUGAGCUGCUGGCCAAACCAACAGAGACACAAUGAGGAGUGGCAGGCUCAACAGAAAAUCCAGUCUCCAAAAGUGUGGUAGAGAGUAACCGACAAAUACACUCAGUGGCCUUCUCUACCCUCCACAUGUGUACUAUGAGUCCAUGCAGUCUCACAUGUCUGGACAACACACACACCACAGACAGCUGAUAUUGUGUAUGUUGUCACAAAUAAAAGUAUAUAUUGUCAAAGUAAAAGAAUUCCCCAAACAAUGCCAUAUGUAUUUACUAUAAAUAGAUGGCAACACUUUCUAACAACAGCUGCUUAAAUGCUAGAUUAUACAAUAACAAACGGAUGCUUGGAUAUUGGAUAGAUGCCUACAUAGGUGCUUUUAAAGCUUUUAAUAUUGUUGGUGACAUUAUGGAUGAUAUUUGUUUCUUAAAAUUCAUUCAACAUUGUGAGUAGUGAACAUAUAUGGAUAAAAACAGAAACACAUAAAUAAGUUAAUUUUAAAAAUCAAAAUGGAAUUCCCAGGCUCAGUUCAGGAUAAGCCUGGCAUGAUCAAGUCGAGGCCCCCUAAGUAUAUUAUCCACAUGAAAAUAAUUCGCACAGUGUGUGCCUCUGUGUGUCUUCUCAGCUACAACCAUGAAUCUGCUCAGCUUUGCACCUGCAACCAAAGACAAAAUAUGAGCCUCUCAGAUGGAGGCAGAAACAAGAUCCUAUAAAUCCAGGAAAGAUGGCUGUUCUGCCGAGCUUUGGCAAGAUGCUUUCCAGCUCGAACUGCAUGUUUCCUUCCACCUAACACCAGGAAACUGCAGGUUGAAGAGUACAGAAACGAUGGAUGGGAUGCAUGGAAAUACUACUUCUCGGAGAUGAAGAUGAAGGGGCAAAAUACUUUCCCCCCUACUCCAGGUCUUCCCUUCUGAAUGUUCUGUAAAAACAUCAGUAGCCUAGUCCCUCUUGUGACUCCAAUACUUGGAAAAUGGACACCUCAGCUAUCUACAAAUAAAUUAUCCACCCACUGUACUCCUGAGUCUGCAGCUACUGAGAAAAGUUGUCAAGUCUUCUAAACUCCACCGGCAUUGAAUAGGAAAUGACUGUUGUUUAUCCUCAGGGAGAGUCUUGGUGCCAUAGACAAGCAUUACCAAUUUAAGGCUUUGAUAGGUUAAUCUUGAUUGUCAACUUAACAAAAUUUAGGAUCCCCAAGAAAACAAACCACCUGGGAUACCCAUGAAGGGAGUUUCUGGAUUGUGUUAAUUAAGAAGACCUGAGACUGUGGGCAGAAUUGUUCCUUAGGGUGGGGUACCAGAAUGAUGAAAAGAAAAAAGAAAAUGAGUUUAGCAUCAAUUGCAUCUUUCUCUUCAUCCUCAUUAUGGAUGUAAAGUGAUCAGCUGCCUCAAGAUCCUGCUAUCCAUAUGCCGGUCUUGCAAUGAUAGAAUGACUGUAACUAAAAAAAAAUAUAUAUCAGACAAAAUUUGCCCUUCCUUCUUGAAGUUGCUUAGGUCACAGCAGUGUAAAAAGUAGCUCAUACGAAUGGACAGAAGGAAGGGUCUAGAGCUGAAAUCUUCCCUGUCCCUCCUACCUCCAUUAUACCUUCUGUCUGUACCAUAGUUUUACUGCACUUUAAAUUGCUCUUUGGGAGCUAAGCUUCCUGGAGUGUUUGCAAGAAUUUGUAAUAAGGCUAUAGAGACACAAGGAGAAUAUUCCAGGCAGUAUCACAGGUAAAAUUCUGGAUAAAUAACAAGGCUUUAAAGGUUAUGAGAACAGAGUAAAGUCUUUCUUUUACUUUUCUUUAGUAGAAGAGACAGAAAUAAAUGCACCUAAAGGAGAGUGAAGAAAGAGGUAGGGACAUAGAUGCUGAAUCUGGAGUCUCUGGGAAAUUAUGCCAAGAAAAUACAAUCUUAAGACUAAAAUGGAGCUUGGCUGGUAUAGUGUUGGUACAGCAUGGUACAGUGUUCAAUUCCGUCUUUAGCUUUGCACAAACCCAGAGUUUGUGGCAUACUUCUACCUCAGAAUUCAGGAAGUGAAAACAGAGGGAUCAAAAAUUAAACAUAAUGAGAUCCAGGUCAUCCUGGCUUAUACGUGACCUCUUAAAAAGAGAAAACAAGAAGGAAAAUGGGGAAAGGAAUGGAAAGAAAGGGGAGAAAAGACAGGAAAGAGGGA